rnacentral:rRNA from 1 species
UACGUAGGCAGCGAGCGUUGUUCGGAGUUACUGGGCGUAAAGGGCUCGUAGGUGGCCAACUAAGUCAGACGUGAAAUCCCUCGGCUUAACCGGGGAACUGCGUCUGAUACUGGAUGGCUUGAGUUUGGGAGAGGGACGCGGAAUUCCAGGUGUAGCGGUGAAAUGCGUAGAUAUCUGGAGGAACACCGGUGGCGAAGGCGGCGUCCUGGACCAACACUGACACUGAUGAGCGAAAGCCAGGGGAGCAAACGGG